rnacentral:rRNA from 1 species
UACAGAGGGUGCGAGCGUUGUCCGGAAUCACUGGGCGUAAAGGGCGCGUAGGCGGCCUGCUAAGUCGAACGUGAAAUCCCUGGGCUCAACCCAGGAACUGCGUUCGAUAUUGGUUGGCUUGAAUCCGGGAGAGGGAUGUGGAAUUCCAGGUGUAGCGGUGAAAUGCGUAGAUAUCUGGAGGAACACCGGUGGCGAAGGCGACAUCCUGGACCGGUAUUGACGCUGAGGCGCGAAAGCCAGGGGAGCAAACGGG